GACGGAGGAUGCAAGCGUUAUCCGGAAUGAUUGGGUGUAAAGGGUUCGUAGGCGGUGUGGCAAGUCGGGGGUGAAAUCUCUGGGCUCAACUCAGAGACUGCUUCCGAAACUGCUGUGCUGGAGUGUGGGAGAGGCGCGUGGAAUUGCAGGUGUAGCGGUGAAAUGCGUAGAUAUCUGCAGGAACACCCGUGGCGAAAGCGGCGCGCUGGACCACUACUGACGCUGAGGAACGAAAGCUAGGGGAGCAAACAGG
rnacentral:rRNA from 1 species